GGCUUACCUUCAGGGCGGGCGGGAAAUGCUUGGGUGGCGGGCGGACGUUAGCAACCAGUCUUAUUUAUUGUUUGCUGUUGACGUGUAUUGCGUGAGAGCAGAGCAACCACGCUUAUUGUUUGCGAAUACUAAGUGUCUGUGCAAGAGGACGAGGGCACGCGAGGACGAGGCUUGGACGUGGCGAGACUGGUGCAAGAAAACAAAGUGAAUAUUAUACACGUGCAAAUUCUCACCUGUCCUCGCGUCACCUGCACGGCUUCAGUUCAGCUUACACGGGAUUCGCAUUAAGGAAGCGAGGAAGUAAGGGAAAGGAAAUGAGGAAGGAACAAUAGAAGAGAUGAAGGGGGAAUGAUAUCACCCUGAAGGAGGAAAGGGAAGAUGUGCCCGAAGGAAGAAGGAAUCGAGACAGUAAGGAAUGAAUGCAAAAUGGGGAAGAGGACGGGAAGAGGAGAAUGUGAGCAGAGAGAAAAGGAGAGGGAGGAGAUUAAGAGAAGGAGAAAUUGAUGAGAUGAGUCCGAUGUUUGGGACGAGAAAAGAAGAAUGUCACGUGCUGUUGUUUGAAUUAAUUACUUAAACACCGCCAGAGUCACGAGCCGCAGGUGUCUCUUGUGAGAAUUGUAAAAGUGGAAUGAUUAAAAAGGUUCCGAAGAAAAAAAGAAAAAAAAGAACAGUGAGUAAGAUUAGAUUAUGGAAGGGUAAAUAUUGAGGAUGGAGAAAAUAUGCGAGAUACAAAUGAUGAGAUGAAUAGUAGAGGAAAUGAUAAACUGAUAAAAUAAGGAUGAAAUAGAUGAGGUGACGAAUAGAGAAUGUCGAAGAAAAGAGUGAACGAGAUGAGAUUAGAAAGGAAAAAAUAAUGUUGAAGUAUGAAAAAAAAUAUAUAAGAUACAGUUGUUAAGAGGAAUAGUAGAGGAAAUGAUGAAAGGAUAAAAAGAUACAAAGAUGAAUAAAACAUUAAAAAAAGAGUGGGCAUGAUUAGAUUACGAAGUGAAAAUAUUAAAGAAUAGAAAAAAUGUGCAAGAUACAAUUGUUAAGAAGAAUGUUAAAGGAAAGGAUAAAAAACAUGAAAAAAAAGAUGAAACAAAGAGAAUAUAAAAGAGAUGAACAUGAAAAAAGAUAAAAAAAUAAAUAAAUAAACAGACGAAUAGAAUAUAUAUAUAUAUAUAUAUAUAUAUAUAUAUAUAUAUAUAUAUAUAUAUA